UUUUACAACAUGGAGGUUGGAGACUGACGAGUCUCUUCAUGAUUAGCAUGAUUCUCAUCAUCGCAG
ensembl:ncRNA W05B2.10 ncRNA